rnacentral:rRNA from 1 species
UACGUAGGGUGCAGGCGUUAAUCGGAAUUACUGGGCGUAAAGCGUGCGCAGGCGGUCUAUUAAGACAGGUGUGAAAUCCCCGGGCUUAACCUGGGAACUGCGCUUGUAACUGAUAGGCUUGAGUGUGGCAGAGGGGGGUGGAAUUCCAGGUGUAGCAGUGAAAUGCGUAGAGAUGCGGAGGAACACCGAUGGCGAAGGCAGCCCCCUGGGCUAAGACUGACGCUGAGGCACGAAAGCGUGGGGAGCAAACAGG